rnacentral:rRNA from 1 species
UUUUGUUGGUUUGUAUAAAUAAUGUCUAGCUCUGCCCACUGGCUAUUAUGCUAAAGGGCCGCGGUAUUUUGACCGUGCGAAGGUAGCAUAAUCAAUAGUCUCUUAAUUGGAGGCUGGAAUGAAUGGCUGCACGAGAAGUAAGCUGUCUCUUCUUUAGAAAUUGAAUUUUACUUUUAAGUGAAAAGGCUUAAAUAACCUGAGGGGACGAUAAGACCCUAUAAAAUUUUACAAUUUAUUUCUGCCCUAUGAAUUUUUGUUUAAAUUGAGUGAGGUCUAUUAUUGUUAGGUUGGGGCGACUAUUAUAUAAUUUUAAUAACUGUAAGUAAAAGAAAUAAGUUUAUUUAGUUAAUUGAUCCUUUAAUAAAGAUUAAAAGAUUAAGUUACUUUAGGGAUAACAGCGUAAUUUUUUCAGAGAGUUCUUAUCGAUGAAAUUAGUUGCGACCUCGAUGUUGAAUUAAAGUGUCUUUUAAGUGUAGCCGCUUAGUUAGUUGGUCUGUUCGACCAUUAAAACUUUACAUGAUUUGAGUUCAAACCGGUGUGAGCCAGGUUGGUUUCUAUCUAA